CAGUCGCCACGGUAAUACGUAGGUGGCAAGCGUUGUCCGGAAUUAUUGGGCGUAAAGGGCUCGCAGGCGGUUUCUUAAGUCUGAUGUGAAAGCCCCCGGCUCAACCGGGGAGGGUCAUUGGAAACUGGGAAACUUGAGUGCAGAAGAGGAGAGUGGAAUUCCACGUGUAGCGGUGAAAUGCGUAGAGAUGUGGAGGAACACCAGUGGCGAAGGCGACUCUCUGGUCUGUAACUGACGCUGAGGAGCGAAGGCGUGGGGAGCGAACAGGAUUAGAUACCCCAGUAGUCCCUGUCUCUUAUAC
rnacentral:rRNA from 1 species